UGACUUUUGUCCAUCCGUUAGCAAGAGAAAUAGGACGCUGAAGCACCAUGAACCUCCUGUCCUCGCAGGACGUGGGGGUUUGCUCCCUGUCUUUAUUAUCAAGUCCACCUCGGGAGAUGAAUCCAUGACUUUAAGCUGCAGAUCCAGCGAGAAAGAUCAAGAAAACACUGCUCGAUAUCAUCAACCCAUUUUAAGAUCCAUCAUCGUCGUCAUCAUCAUCCUUACUACUCGUGUUCGACCAAAAAGGGGAUCGUCCCACGAUUAUGCCUGCGCAUGAAGAAGGGUGUGUAGCUCGGGAGCGUGUCGGGAUUUGCGUACUUGGAUUGCUGUUCUACAGAGUUUAUCAUGACUCGAGGCUGAUCAAAUAAGAAGCGUACAAAAAGAGAAGGAAGACAUGUCUAUCUUUUGGAAUCGACCUUCUUGUCGUCUUGCGCUUGGCUUAGAAUA